CCUUCUCCACGUGCAUGGGUGAGCUGGCUGGAAGCAUGGCACAUGCUUGCUCAAAUUGGCGCGCUUCUCUUAGGGUUCUUUUGCAUUUUCUAAGUAAUUUGAAACAACAUUUGAGCUCCUCCUCUCCUAUAAAUAAGAUGGCUCCCUCCUUGUAAAAGACACUUUUGAGCCUUAAUGAAAUGCUGCAGAAUUUCUGUCACAGCCAUAAUGCUCUUGAGUCAAUGCUUCUUUACACUUUCUCUACCCUUUCCUCUAGCUUCCUUCCAUCAUAGGAGGGCCUUCUGAGCUGAGAGGAUCAAUUACACACUCCUUCCAUCACUAAACACCAAAUUCCACUCAUCUACAUCCAAUUCCGCUGCACUUCUCUACAACAUGGAUUGCUUGCUGUUUGGAACCGGAUCUCCAUGCUUUCUAUCCAUAGCAAGUCUCCAUCAAGUGGUAUCAAG
rnacentral:lncRNA from 1 species